AUUGAACGCUGGCGGCAGGCCUAACACAUGCAAGUCGAACGGUAACAGGAAGCAGCUUGCUGCUUCGCUGACGAGUGGCGGACGGGUGAGUAAUGUCUGGGAAACUGCCUGAUGGAGGGGGAUAACUACUGGAAACGGUAGCUAAUACCGCAUAACGUCGCAAGACCAAAGAGGGGGACCUUAGGGCCUCUUGCCAUCGGAUGUGCCCAGAUGGGAUUAGCUAGUAGGUGGGGUAACGGCUCACCUAGGCGACGAUCCCUAGCUGGUCUGAGAGGAUGACCAGCCACACUGGAACUGAGACACGGUCCAGACUCCUACGGGAGGCAGCAGUGGGGAACAUUGCACAAUGGGCGCAAGCCUGAUGCAGCCAUGCCGCGUGUAUGAAGAAGGCCUUCGGGUUGUAAAGUACUUUCAGCGGGGAGGAAGGGAGUAAAGUUAAUACCUUUGCUCAUUGACGUUACCCGCAGAAGAAGCACCGGCUAACUCCGUG
rnacentral:rRNA from 1 species